CUACGUGCCAGCAGCCGCGGUAAUACGUAGGUCCCGAGCGUUGUCCGGAUUUAUUGGGCGUAAAGCGAGCGCAGGCGGUUAGAUAAGUCUGAAGUUAAAGGCUGUGGCUUAACCAUAGUACGCUUUGGAAACUGUUUAACUUGAGUGCAAGAGGGGAGAGUGGAAUUCCAUGUGUAGCGGUGAAAUGCGUAGAUAUAUGGAGGAACACCGGUGGCGAAAGCGGCUCUCUGGCUUGUAACUGACGCUGAGGCUCGAAAGCGUGGGGAGCAAACAGGAUUAGAUACCCUGGUAGUCCACGCCGUAAACGAUGAGUGCUAGGUGUUAGACCCUUUCCGGGGUUUAGUGCCGCAGCUAACGCAUUAAGCACUCCGCCUGGGGAGUACGACCGCAAGGUUGAAACUCAAAGGAAUUGACGGGGGCCCGCACAAGCGGUGGAGCAUGUGGUUUAAUUCGACGCAACGCGAAGAACCUUACCAGGUCUUGACAUUGAUGGACAGAACUAGAGAUAG
rnacentral:rRNA from 1 species